GAGCCCGGUGUAAAACAACGAGUUGGGUAGUGAACUCGCAAAACUACCGUACUGUAAUCUUGGAUUAUAGUGAAAAUUCCCAAAGGUGAUUUGGGGAGUGGAUGUAGGAGCAGUGGAAGCUCCGAACCACUAUAAAACCUUGUGUUUGCGAUUGACCUUUCUCAUUCCCCCUUCUUUACUUUAGUGCAUAUAUUCGUGUGUUUUAUUUUUAAUUAGUCAAAAGCUUUUAAAACACCCAAUUCACCGCCCUCUUGGGUGACCAUCUCUGGGCAACAAUUUUAAUGCAUGACUUAACACAUAAUAUAUUUUGCAUGUGGCAUGAUGUCUUGAAUUAUGAGUUCUCAAUAUUUUGUAAUGCUCCAUGCUUGGACAAUUUGAUUGAAUGUUUGGAAUACUACAUAAAAUUUUUGUUUGGUAAUAUUGAAAAGAAAUUCCAGAUUUGUCAUACACAAUCAUCGUCAAAAUCUGAAAGUUN
rnacentral:lncRNA from 1 species